GAUGAACGCUAGCGGCAGGCUUAAUACAUGCAAGUCGAGGGGCAGCACGAAUAGCAAUAUUUGGUGGCGACCGGCAAACGGGUGCGGAACACGUACAGAACCUUCCUUCGAGCGGGGAAUAGCCCGAAGAAAUUCGGAUUAAUACCCCAUAGUAAAUUGAAAAGGCAUCUUUUUAAUUUUAAAGUAUUAUCACUUGAAGAUGGCUGUGCGCCUGAUUAGGUAGUUGGCGGGGUAACGGCCCACCAAGCCUCGCGAUCAGUAACUGGUGUGAGAGCACGACCAGUCACACGGGC
rnacentral:rRNA from 1 species